rnacentral:rRNA from 1 species
UAUCCUACGGGUGGCUGCAGUGGGGAAUAUUGCGCAAUGGGCGAAAGCCUGACGCAGCGACGCCGCGUGAGGGAUGAAGGCCUUCGGGUUGUAAACCUCUUUCAGCGCCGAAGAAGCGAAAGUGACGGUAGGCGCAGAAGAAGCACCGGCUAACUACGUGCCAGCAGCCGCGGUAAUACGUAGGGUGCAAGCGUUGUCCGGAAUUAUUGGGCGUAAAGAGCUCGUAGGCGGUUUGUCGCGUCUGCUGUGAAAACUCGGGGCUUAGCCCCGGGCUUGCAGUGGGUACGGGCAGACUAGAGUGCGGUAGGGGAGACUGGAAUUCCUGGUGUAGCGGUGAAAUGCGCAGAUAUCAGGAGGAACACCGGUGGCGAAGGCGGGUCUCUGGGCCGUAACUGACGCUGAGGAGCGAAAGCGUGGGGAGCGAACAGGAUUAGAUACCCUAGUAGUCC